GUACCCCAAAAUAGGCUAAGUAGAAAUCCAUAAUUCAUCAAAUAGGGCAAACAAUCUUUACAACUGCAUUGUACUUACUGCUCAGUGGUCAUGAAAACCCACAAGUCAAAAGCUAAGACGGGCAUUUCAUUAUUUCGGUAUGAGAAAUAUUUAAUUCUGAAACAGCUCAGUUUUGCGUUCUGUCCUUUAGAUCUUGCUGUGAGACAUGCUGUUCUAAUAUGCGUAAUUUAAAUUAUGCACAACUAUAAAGCCCCUGAGUAUAACAUAUUUGCAAAUUUUAUUAGAUUUGGAAAGCACUGUUUCCAGCAGGCAGUUUUUAUUCAGUUUUCUGUUGAAAAUAGAUCAAACACCUAUGUUAAAAGCAAAUACUGAUCAAAAUAUACGUAGAAAAAUCUGGAAAGUUUUGCUAGAAGGUAUUAAUUGUGGUUCUGUCUUAAAAGUGGGAUGAUGGGUUGGGGCAGGGUGUUAAAAGAGGUCACUUUAUACAUCGCUGUAUACUGUUUGAAUAUUUUGCAACAAACGUGUAUUUCUUUUACAAUCAGGAAAAAGGGAAAUGUAUUUUUCUUUUGAGAAAAAGGUAACAGCUUAAACUAACAUCUCCAUAGAUAUUUUCAACUAUGCUUAAUUACCCAGAUAAGUCCUUCCACCUUUUAAUUUACUUUAAUUGGGGAGACGUAAAUAUUAAAAGGCUAGAGAGUUCUAUCUAAACAUUCAAAUAGUUACCAUUUAGCAUAUGUUGGAUACACUGAUACUUCCAAUUAUAAUAUGAAAAGCUCUCUCUAUAGCUUUUCCCCUCUAACAACACCAAGGCUUCUCAAAAUCAUUCAAAGGAUCUAUUUUUAAUUUCUCUUUUCCAACAACAGAGCACACUGAGCUACAGCAUAGAACACCACCAUUGCCCCCUCCUCCCAACCACAGAAAUAACUGAAUGUGUGCAAGUCAAAGAAAUGGAAAUCCAGAUGCCAGAAGACGGGAGAGAAAUCAAAGAGCAGGGAGGAGAAGUGGGUGUGCUGGUGGCCCAGCUGGUUUUCACUCGCUUCUCUGCUCACUGUCCCUAACUCCAUGACACACUCAGCCCCCUCUGGGCACUGGAUGUCCUCCCCGCUCCUACCUCUAUCUCAAUCACCCUGUCUGUUGGUGCGCCUGUUUGUGGGGAGCUCCUGUGAUCAAGAACAUCUUCCUGCUCCUCUACCCUCUUUUCUGCCCCCACAGUGGUUUCCUGUCUAUUGGAUAAUUCCCAUCAGCCUAUUAACAUACACCACCACCUCCUCCGUGGUCUUACAUUACUCUUUAGAUCCCAUCCCGUUUUUCUGCUCCCUUUUAGAGCCAAAUCCUAGAGCACGACCCGGACUCAGUGCAUUCUCUCUGGAGCCUAUUCCAAGGAGGACUGUGUCCCCACCACUCCCCUGAAACAGCUCCUCAGGGCCUCCCAGUCAGCUUAGUUCUCCAUCUUCGCCUUGCUUGACCCAUCGACAACUUUCACUUAGUUACUCCCUCCUGGAAACAGGUUCUUUACCACAUCCAAGUACCUUCUCUUUAUUCGCCUACCUCACCAAAUACUUCUCCUUUGUUGAUAUUUCAUCUUUAUUUACUAUCUCUACACAUGGCAAUGGCCUGCAGGGCUCUAACUCUGCUCGCUUCCCCCCUCCACCCCGUGGCUUCCCCUUUAGGUCCCUAUUCAAAUACUACCAGCUCACUUUUCUUUUUAAGCGUACUCGAUAAAAAAAGCGCCUCUCCCAUCACUAUGUAGCCCUCUUGUGUUGCUUAACUUUUCCCAUAGCAUCCAUUGAGCACCAGCUGAUACGUUGCCAUAUUUAUUUGUUUGGUGUCUAUCUGUCCCACUAGAAUGCUGGCCUUGAGGACAGGGGGUCCAGCUGCCUCGUUCCUGCUCAUGCCGUGCAGUAGACCCUUAAAGGGAUAUUUGAUGAACAAGCUCCUAGACACAGCAUACCAAGAGGCUGGGAGGGACUGGCUUCUGAUGGUGACAUGGAGCUGAGGUACCCAGCAUAUGUAUUUUACAAGUACUGGUGUAUAUACUGGAGAUUUAUGGUCCAUGCUCUUAACUUCAAGAAUGGGGUUGGAUGACUCUUCAAAGACAAAGAACAGUGUGGUGCCUAUGAGAAGGAUGACAUCAGCGGGAAAGAGGUGAAGGACCAUGAACUCUGAAGUCUGUCUCGAGGCUGGAGGCAAGCUGGAGCCUUCAGGUCUAGAGAGAAACAAGGAGCCAGAUAAAGAGACUGUGUCCUGUUUGGCCUGCGUGGUUUGUAAUAGCCAUUUCUUAUAAUUAUAGCUCCCAUUUAGUGAGCACUCACUGUGGGCCAGGCACCACACACAUGAUCUCACUUAAGUUGCUCAGCAUCCCUCUUACAGGAGGAAACUGAGGCACAGAGAGGUUAAGCAACGUGCCUUAAAGUCACACAGCAAGCAAGUGACAGAACCAGGAUUUGGCUGCCGGCAUUUUUCACUUCCGAGCCAGCCAGCUUUUAGACCCUGUCCUGGUACUUGUUUGUCCCUGCAAAGACAUGUGUGUCCUCCAGAAGCUGUCCCCUGCAAAUUCGGGGGCUCCUGUGUGGCUGGCUUCCAGCUGGGUCCAUCAGAAGGAGGUGGGAGCAGGGGACAAGAGUGUGAGCAAAGGACAGGCCAAGGCAUUUUUCCCUCUUGAUCUGCAUGUGACAACAGCUCCUUCUCGCCCUACCUGGCCCGGAGACGCUCUCUCCACCCCAGUCUCUGGGUGCCCCAUCCCUGUCUGCUCCUGUAAGAAGUCAGUCAUUAAGUCCCUUCACACGAGCCAUCUAGGGUGAAUGCUACUUCCUGCCGGGACCCCAUCUGCUCCACCACUACCCACAAUGGCUCCCACUUGCUUCACACCACAUCACAUAGAUGAGAACAGCAGUGGUGGAAAGAGCUGACUCCACUCAAAAAGAAAUGAAGCUCCUGCCUGAAUAUCCCUUUAUCGUGCAAAACAGCUGGCUACAAUGCGAGGUAUGAAUCUGGUUUGGCUAGUGGGUCCAACCAAGCAGCCAACCAUGGAAAACUGCUGGUGAGAUAAUUCGGGAAUUUGAAUACUGAUUGGAUAUUUGAUGGUAUCAAAGAAUUAUUGAUCAUUUAGGUGUACUAAUAGAAUUAUGGUUAUGUUUAGAAGAGUCCUUGUAUUUCGGGGAUAUAUACUAAAAUACUUGUGGACGGGUAGUGCCUCCUAGAAAGUCCAAGG